rnacentral:rRNA from 1 species
UACGUAGGGUCCGAGCGUUGUCCGGAAUUACGUGGGCGUAAAGAGCUCGUUAGGUGGUUUGUCGCGUUGUUACGUGAAAACUCACAUGCUUAACGUGUGGGCGUGCGGGCGAUACGGGCAGACUAGAGUACUGCAGGGGAGACUGGAAUUCCUGGUGUAGCGGUGGAAUGCGCAGAUAUCAGGAGGAACACCGGUGGCGAAGGCGGGUCUCUGGGCAGUAACUGACGCUGAGGAGCGAAAGCGUGGGGAGCGAACAGG